CCGUACCUUUAUAAAAGUUACGUCUGCAAGCCGAGAUCAUAUAGCAAACUUUGAAGCGACUGUGUAAUAUUGAUUCAGAUAUAAUCAAAAUGAGUGACGGUAAGACUGCUACCAACAACUUCGAGGCCGAAUAUUACGACCAAUAUGACUACUACAACAUAGAAGACGACAAGCAUUCAGGUGCAAGUAGUCGAAAAGGUCGUUCUAAAGCCGAAUCCGCCAAACGAAGUGACUCUUCCACCAACACAUGGACGGUGUAUGGUAAAUUGGAAACAGAAAGCAAUAACAGGGCUAAGAAACAAGCACAACAAAACCAAGGCAAAUCUUGAAAGAAGAUAUUCUUAAACAAGGAAUCGCCAGGGAAUAUCGGACUAUGCCACUCUCACAAAGUGUCGGAACGGAAAAAUCAUCGAGAAAAGUUAUGUGGACAAGACUUUUUUGCGCAAGAUGCCCUAAAUAAUUAUUAGCGCUAGGGAUUUUAUAUGUGGAAUUUGUGUAUUGAUUUUUCAUAAUUGUGGUGAGAUGAAAAUAAAGGCGCAGAGAAAAAAUA